rnacentral:lncRNA from 1 species
UUUUUUUCCCCUGAUUUUAUACAAUGUUUUUACUUUUUUACAAUAAUAAUUAUUUGAUCAAAUAAUUAUAUAUAUCAAUAAUUAAUUUUUCUUACAAUAAUUAUUUUCCUUUUUUCCUCUUUUUCCUCUUUUUUUGUCUGCAUUUUUUUUCCUCACUUUUUUUCUGAUUUUUUUACAAUAUUUUUUCUUUUUUACAAUAAUAAUUAUUUGAUCAGUGACUUGUGAAAAAAAGGAGAAUGAAGUAGAACAGAGAGAUUUUGAAAUAUUUGAA